rnacentral:lncRNA from 1 species
GGGGAUUGUGGCUUGGAGGUAGGCCUCGCCUGUUGGUAGCUGGUGUAAUGAGGAGCAGUAAAGGUCUACAGGGUCAGGCCAGUGCCUUUUCCUCAAUAACUCACUUCACACACACACACUGUGUUCCCCCUUUGUGUGUGGCUGCUACCCAGUUAUCCCCCCAAUGAGCUACAUGUCAGCGGGACCCUUCCUCUUUGGCCUCUUGGCACAGUAGCCAUUGGCCCUCUUGGCGGUCGCCGGUGCUAUGCAUGUGGGUUUCCCCAAGUGGCCAUCUCGAUCCCAGGCACUGAAUGAAUGACUGUGUGUUACCCAGGUGGCUCCUUGUUUGCAUCCUUCACCUUCCUCAUGAAGUUCGCCCUCCCCCUCGGCUCCGCCAGGAUGGCCCUGCGGUCUCUCAUCUUCCUGGGCAUCCUGAACAGCCCCUCACUGCAGAAGCCCCUGGCUGCUGAGGACGACAGCGGGGGGCACCCCGGGAACACGGGCCUGAUCCAAUGCGGGGAGUACAGCAACCAGGUCCUGCCCAACGGCCGGUGUAAGAUCGUGGCCACCUUGCCGCAGAUGGACGAGCAGAGGUGCCCGGAUAUGUUCCGCUGCACGGACGAGGUCUCCUACUGGCUCCACGAGAACGAGGAGCGCAAGCAGCAGAUCCUGGAGCUGCGGGAGCUGAUCUCCGAGCUGCAGGAGGAGCUGAGGAACCACCGGCAUCGCAUCAAAGUCCUAGAGCUGCAGCAUGAGGAGAAGAACAGCCGGAACUCCACGGUGGAGCAGCGGGUCCAGGAGCUGGAGCAGCGUUACAACGAGGCCAGCACGCUGCAGCACAUCCAAGCCACGCUGCUCUACGACAUGCAGGCCCAGAUCCACAACAUCUCCCUGCUGACUGAGUGGGCCCGGCGCAACCCCGGCUGCCUCGUUCCUGCCGAGAUGAGGUCGCAGCAGGAGAUGCACCAUCCAGACGUGAAGCACGCAAAGAACUGCCCGAUAGACUGUGCUUCCAUUUACUACAACGGGAUCCGGAGGUCUGGGGUCUACAGCAUUAUGCCCUCUGUCGGUGGGAUGCCAAUAGAAGUGCUGUGUGAAAUGGACACGGAAGGUAUAGUAAGAAGCGACCGCAUG